GGCAGCACAUGGGUAGCCUAGCUGGAGGCAUCUGGCCUGCCUCAACAUGCAUUACUACCGUCUGGUGUACUUUGAGUCAUUCAUACAGGAAGGUGACGCAUCCCCAGCUGAGAGAUCACAAUUAAGUUACAGCUAAUGAAAACAAAAAAAAGGGAUGGGUAGUCGUGUAUGUGCCACCGUUUCUGUCUUUUCUUUCAGCUGCGGGGGAGUUUGUUUGGGGCUGGCACUGCAGCGUGGCCCGCGGUGACGUCAGCGUGACGUAGCCUCGAACAAAAGGCAUCGGUGGGAACUGGGAGCAUGGAUGUAUUAUCCAUCAUCAUGAGCAUGUGGAGAAGAAAAAGAGAAGGAGAAAGGAAGGAAACAGGAAGUGAACAGUCGAACUCCAGACUCUGAGCAACAGCCUCAUUAACUUGUUAGUCAUUGCAAUGUUUUAAAAUCUAUACUCGUCCAAAUGCCCUACAGCUAUUUUAUUUUCAUGUCUCUGGUUCAGUCCCCUUAACAGUUUUACUUAAGUUUUUCUUCUUCUAAACCACUCUGUAACUUGGAUUUCAAAAGUGGUUUAUAAAUAAAUAAAGAAAACAACAAAGAAACUACUUAGUAGUCUCUUAUUUUUGAAGUCAAGGGACUUGAACCGUUGGCAUCCCAAAGUGCCUUGCUGGAGGGCCACAUGCCAAGUUCUAUCCCCCAUAUCCUCUGCUCUACUAGAGAACCAUCGGCCCCCAGUCGGCUGGGGGCAGUUGCCUGGCCUUCCCUAAAAUAGCUACCUAUAUUAUGUAUGCACACCUGCUCAUAAAUCCUGAAAUAUACAUGUUGUAAUUUAUAAUCUUUUGAUAUCAAACAUGCCUCCAGGAGUAUAAAUAAAUGGAGGUUUUAGCCCAGUUCUCGGCGGACGACGAGUCUACACAGUUGCCAACGGAAACAAGUACAGCACCUGCUCCACUCAGGACGAUAGAGGAUCGUAUCCACGGCAACCCCAGCCAAGUAUCGCUCCAUGGGCCAACUUUCUGAAAAAUUUAAUAUCGGGCAUUAUACAAGGUCUGGAUUAAAACACUGUUUGCCCUUCAAACCCUUGUCGUUCUUUUCAAU
ensembl:lncRNA